GAGUUUGAUCGUGGCUCAGAUUGAACGCUGGCGGCAGGCCUAACACAUGCAAGUCGAGCGGUAGAGAGAAGCUUGCUUCUCUUGAGAGCGGCGGACGGGUGAGUAAUGCCUAGGAAUCUGCCUGGUAGUGGGGGAUAACGCUCGGAAACGGACGCUAAUACCGCAUACGUCCUACGGGAGAAAGCAGGGGACCUUCGGGCCUUGCGCUAUCAGAUGAGCCUAGGUCGGAUUAGCUAGUUGGUGAGGUAAUGGCUCACCAAGGCGACGAUCCGUAACUGGUCUGAGAGGAUGAUCAGUCACACUGGAACUGAGACACGGUCCAGACUCCUACGGGAGGCAGCAGUGGGGAAUAUUGGACAAUGGGCGAAAGCCUGAUCCAGCCAUGCCGCGUGUGUGAAGAAGGUCUUCGGAUUGUAAAGCACUUUAAGUUGGGAGGAAGGGCAGUAAAUUAAUACUUUGCUGUUUUGACGUUACCGACAGAAUAAGCACCGGCUAACUCUGUGCC
rnacentral:rRNA from 1 species